rnacentral:rRNA from 1 species
UACGGGGGGAGCAAGCGUUGUUCGGAUUUACUGGGCGUAAAGGGCGCGUAGGCUGUGCUGUAAGUCAGGCGUGAAAGCCCCGGGCUCAACCUGGGAAUUGCGCUUGAUACUGCGGCGCUGGAAGGUGGGAGAGGAUGGCGGAAUUCCCAGUGUAGAGGUGAAAUUCGUAGAUAUUGGGAAGAACACCGGUGGCGAAGGCGGCCUGCUGGGCAGUUGCUGACACUGAGGCGCGACAGCGUGGGGAGCAAACAGG